rnacentral:rRNA from 1 species
CCUACGGGAGGCAGCAGUGGGGGAUAUUGCACAAUGGGGGAAACGCUGAUGCAGCGACGCCGCGUGAGGGAAGACGGUCCUCUGGAUUGUAAACCACUGUCCCCAGGGACGAAGAUGACGGUACCUGGGGAGGAAGCGCCGGCUAACUACGUGCCAGCAGCCGAGGUAAUACGUAGGGAGCGAGCGUAGUCCGGAUUUACUGGGUGUAAAGGGAGCGUAGGCGGGACUGCAAGUUGGGUGUCAAAUCUACCGGCUCAACCGGUAGCCGCACUCGAAACUGCAGUUCUUGAGUGAAGGAGAGGCAUGCGGAAUGCCUGGUGUAGCGGUGAAAUGCGUAGAUAUUAGGCGGAACACCAGUGGCGAAGGCGGCCUGCUGGGCUUUUACUGACGCUGAGGCUCGAAAGUGUGGGGAGCAAACAGGAUUAGAUACCCGUGUAGUC